UUCCUCCUUCAGGGAAGGCAGAUGGCCCGU
rnacentral:piRNA from 1 species